rnacentral:rRNA from 1 species
GACGAACGCUGGCGGCGUGCUUAACACAUGCAAGUCGAGCGGUAAGGCCCUUUCGGGGGUACACGAGCGGCGAACGGGUGAGUAACACGUGGGUGACCUGCCCUCAGCUCUGGGAUAAGCCUGGGAAACCGGGUCUAAUACCGGAUAUGACUCCAUGACGCAUGUUGUGGGGUGGAAAGCCUUGUGCGGCUGAGGAUGGGCCCGCGGCCUAUCAGCUUGUUGGUGGGGUGAUGGCCUACCAAGGCGACGACGGGUAGCCGCCCUGAGAGGGCGACCGGCCACACUGGGACUGAGACACGGCCCAGACUCCUACGGGAGGCAGCAGUGGGGAAUCUUGCGCAAUGGGCGAAAGCCUGACGCAGCGACGCCGCGUGAGGGAUGACGGCCU